GACGAACGCUGGCGGCGUGCUUAACACAUGCAAGUCGAACGGAAAGGCCCUGCUUUUGUGGGGUGCUCGAGUGGCGAACGGGUGAGUAACACGUGAGUAACCUGCCCUUGACUUUGGGAUAACUUCAGGAAACUGGGGCUAAUACCGGAUAGGAGCUCCUGCUGCAUGGUGGGGGUUGGAAAGUUUCGGCGGUUGGGGAUGGACUCGCGGCUUAUCAGCUUGUUGGUGGGGUAGUGGCUUACCAAGGCUUUGACGGGUAGCCGGCCUGAGAGGGUGACCGGCCACAUUGGGCCGGAGAUACGGCCCAGACUCCUACGGGAGGCAGCAGUGGGGAAUAUUGCACAAUGGGCGGAAGCCUGAUGCAGAAACGCCGCGUGCGGGAUGACGGCCUUCGGGUUGUAAACCGCUUUCGCCUGUGACGAAGCGUGAGUGACGGUAAUGGGUAAAGAAACACCGGCUAACUACGU
rnacentral:rRNA from 1 species